UACGUAGGGGGCAAGCGUUGUCCGGAAUCAUUGGGCGUAAAGAGCGCGUAGGCGGCCCGAUAAGUCCGCUGUGAAAGUCCAGGGCUCAACCCUGGAAAGCCGGUGGAUACUGUCGGGCUAGAGUCCGGAAGAGGCGAGUGGAAUUCCUGGUGUAGCGGUGAAAUGCGUAGAGAUCCGGAGGAACACCAGAGGCGAAGGCGGCCUACUGGGUCGCACCUGACGCUGAGCCGCGAAAGCCAGGGGAGCGAACGGG
rnacentral:rRNA from 1 species